rnacentral:rRNA from 1 species
UACGUAGGUGGCAAGCGUUGUUCGGAAUUAUUGGGCGUAAAGGGCGCGUAGGCGGUUUGUUAAGUCAGCUGUGAAAGCCCGGGGCUCAACCCCGGAGGGUCGGCUGAUACUGGCAGGCUAGAGUACGGAAGAGGUAGCUGGAAUUCCCGGUGUAGCGGUGAAAUGCGUAGAUAUCAGGAGGAACACCGGUGGCGAAGGCGGGUCUCUGGGCCGUAACUGACGCUGAGGAGCGAAAGCAUGGGGAGCGAACAGG